rnacentral:rRNA from 1 species
CAGUCGCCGCGGGAAUACGUAGGGUGCGAGCGUUAAUCGGAAUUACUGGGCGUAAAGCGUGCGCAGGCGGUGCUGCAAGACCGAUGUGAAAGCCCCGGGCUUAACCUGGGAACUGCAUUGGUGACUGCAGCGCUGGAGUAUGGCAGAGGGGGGUGGAAUUCCACGUGUAGCAGUGAAAUGCGUAGAGAUGUGGAGGAACACCGAUGGCGAAGGCAGCCCCCUGGGCCAAUACUGACGCUCAUGCACGAAAGCGUGGGGAGCAAACAGGAUUAGAUACCCCCGUAGUCCCUGUCUCUUAUAC